UGUGCCAGCGGAGCCAGCUGGGGGAAGCCCGAGCAGGGCAGGGACGCGACGGGAUCCUGACCUCCCCCAGCCUGUCUGUGCCCUCGUUCAUCCUUACGGCACACGCACAGGCUGCAAACUCGUUACCCUCGGGGAGAGCAGUACCAGGGAGCAGGAAACACGAGCAAAGAAGAGGAGAAGCAAAUUGCUACCCAGUGACCGUGAGCAGGGUGCACCGGUGUCCCGGGCAGGGCGCAGCCGCCCCGGCCGGAGCCCGGCUUCCCCGGGAACGCACCCCAAGCCGCCGCCGCUGCUGCCCGGCCGGGCCGGGGCACCCACCGCCCCUGCUCUUUCCCACGUGCUGCUGCUCUGCUCAAAUAUUUGCUUUGGAAAGCGCUGCCUUGCCCCGAGCCCCGCAGCCAAGGCUGUCCCUGGCAGGGAGGCUGCGAGCGCCUGGCGCCCAGAAGGAUCCCGCUCCGGUGCAUGAUCCCAGGCCGAUUUAGGGAAAACAACGCUCGGCAUCACCGGUCCUCGUUAACCCCCUCGGGCGAGGGGCCGGCUCGCGCCCGCCGGGGCUGGGGCACCCCGGGGCCCCCAGCCAGCCCUGCUCUCCUUUGCUUUUCAAAACUCGCUUUUCAGCUCGCCUUGCUCCGGGCCGGAGGACAAGGAGCUCCGGAAGAGCUUCCCGGUUGGAGCAGGGCAUGCUUGGAUGGUUUUGGAGGAAAAAUUUGGGGCAGCCCCACCGCCACCCGCCACUUGUCGUGCUCUCGCAGCGCUCCCCGGCCCUGGCCUCCGCGCUGCCGGCCGCCGGGAGCUGGAACAGCCCUCGGCGUCUGGGACACUGGCUUUUGUUUCGGAGAAUAAAGUUAGAGCUGUUACUCAGCCUGUCGCUAUUCCA